AAGAACACAAGAACAUUGGACAAAGUUACAUUUACCCCCAUAUCUUUGUUAUCCGGGAUCUUGGACGUGAAACCAGUAAAGGAGAAAAUAAAACAUUUAGAUUGAAAGGGGAAGAAGGGUGAGAAGGUAGAUUGAGAGAAAAAUGGAACAAGUCCACAGACUAUGCCUUGUAUAAUUUUAUUAGCUUGUUCUUGAUUGAUUCCAGCACAUUUCUCACUGCAACAUAAUGUCUCAGUUCUGCCAAGUUUUAUUGAUUUUCUAUGUAGACGUGGCGAAUAUGAGCAAUCUUAUACCAAUCCUGACUCAGAUGAUCUGCUAUCCUAAAAGUGAACUCGGCUGGCAUGUCUUGCAAUUUGAGUUCACGGAGAGUUUCUACGUACUGCAGUGCAUCAGGAAGCAUCUUAAGAUUUUGACAGCAUCUUAUUUCCAAAUCUUUAAGCACAGCCAAUCCUCCUUCCUCAACAACAAAUUCCUCCAGCACCUCCAGCUUCCAGAAUUUGAGCACUCGAAGCUUUUUGAAUCCAUUUGCAGAGCAAAUCAUUCUCUUUCCCAAGUAGGAGUUGGAGAGCAGUCUUAGAAUUUCAAGAUUGGGAAGCUGAGCCAAUGCUUGCAUUGGAUCUUGCAUUAGUCCUGAUGCUGAUAAGGUGAUCUCAACAAGGCUUGGUGGGAAUUUUGAUAUAACUUGUUGAUGCUUCAACUCACCGAGUAGAUAUAUGGUGGAGAGGUUGUUGUGCCUUGACAAACACUCAACAUGAAUAUUCCAUGGUUGAUUGAAUUCAUCAAAUGAUUUCAGUCUCAGAUACUGAAGAUAUCUUAGUUUUGAUACCCAAUUUGCAACAGCAUCCAACUGUGAUAACAUUGGCUCUUGCUGAGAGGAUGUUAACCUGCUUGACAAUCCCAAUUUUCUAAGGUUGAUCAAUGUGUCCAGGCCAUUGGUAACUGGACUCUCCUCAUCGACAAAUACACCACAUAGGGUUUGGAGAUUGGACGAGGGUUGGCCCCUUGGACGAGGAACAAAUUUGCCUCGAUGAGUCUCGUUCAAGAAUAAAUGUCGCAGCUGCUUCAUGUUCCAGAUGGAAGUAGGAAUCAUAUUGAUGCAUGUAUGUUUAAGAUCAAGAGUUUGGAGGCUUAGUAAUUUGUUGAUGAAGGAAGGAAGCAUCUCUAAGCAGGUCCAUCUCAAGCCUAGGUACCUUUAGGAGAAGAAGUUUACCAAUUGCCUUUGGAAGUUUUGGCUUGAAGACAUUUUCUAGGUCCAACACAUGCAAAUAAUGGAAGUUCAUACUAGAAAUGCAUCGGUCAAGGAAAUUCCCUAUGUCUUCGCCAGGCUUGCUUCCUUGUCUGGUAUCGAAUGAUAAGAAUGAGAUGGUAUCUCUGUAAGAAUGAAGAGAAGUAGUGUGGCGGGUGCCGUGGAUAUGAGCAAAGCUGGGAUCACUGUGAUCAAGAUGAUCAGCAAGACGUCGUAUAAUGCCCACAGGUUGCAAGGGAUUAACAUUAGUCCUCGUGUGAAGAAAGUUAGCUUCCUUAGCUUUGGAUAACCAGUGGACUCGCAGAGCAUGUGGUAGGCGACAGGCUUUAACUUUUCCAUUAAGCUUCUUUUUUGACACUUGAACCAUAUUUCGGUUGACUAAUUCCAUUAAGCAUCUCUCAGAGAAAUACUCAAGAGGUUGAUACUCACUCUUUUGAGGCACCAGUCCUUCUGCAACCCACAGCACAAUCAAUCUUCUUGCUGGGACCUCAAAAUCUUGUGGGAAUAACCCGAAAUAAAAGAGUAAUCGCCUUAGGUACAAUGGAAGAUUCCUGUCGAGCUUGUGCAAGAUCUGUGACCAGGGUCUGUCAUCUAGAAUGAACUCGUCAAGUGCCCUUGACCAUGACUGUACAGUUGCAUCAGCAUGUGAAAGCAGAUGUCCUAAACUCACUAUGGCCAGCGGCAGACCUCCACAUUUUCUAACUACUUCCCCUUUAAGUCCUAGCAGCUCGGUGGACAUGUUAACCUUCAAAGUAUGAAUAAACAAUGCCCAGCUCUCAUCAUCUGUUCGAAGAUGCAGCCUGUAUACGUGGUUCCUCUCAGGGACAUCUUCCGAGGUUUCCUUUAUUUGGCGAGAAGUGAAAAUUAUCCUGCUACCAUUUGAUGUUUCAUCGAAUAUCCUUAUUAGUUCAUCCCGGAGACUUUCUCUAAGAUGAGAUGAUCGUUUACAAUCAUCAGAACUUGCUUCAUCAAAAAUGAUAAGUGAUUUCUUCUCCAUCAAGAAAGUACUUAACAUCUCUCCCGUCCUGCGGUCAUACCUACCCCACCUCACAAUCCUCUUUUGUUUCCAAAGUUUGACACUUGUUACUUUUUCUACGAUGUCUUCUAAGGUCAUGAAAGGGUCAUAAGGUACCCAAGCACGGAAAGGGAAAUUGGCUGCAGUAGCAUGAUGGUGAUAUAUUAGCUUUGCAAGGCAUGUUUUACCAAUACCUGCAGCACCUACAAUCGAAAUAGAUUGGCUUCGUGCAUCGUCUUUGAGUAACACCUCCAUAAUUGCAUCAACAUCAUCCUCAAAUCCCUCAAGAGCUGGUUCCUCAGGCACAAAUGAAGCUGUUGAUCUUCGCGGAGUCUGGCUUACAGUCCAUGGAGAAUCUUGAUAGGCUCUUCUAACGGCACUAUGUCUUCUUUCAAAGACCUUUCCAAUCUUAGCUCGGAUCUCCAGCAUGUCCUGGUGAAGUCUGGCUUGCGAGCUGAAAUUAUGUAAUGGCAAAACAAAAGUUGUGAAGGGUCCUCUCCAAUUCCUCCUCAGCUGCUCUCUUCUGCUCAAGAAGCACCCAAUAACAUCAUCUGUUGAGCGGCAUACAUCACAUAGUUCCUCCAUCCAUUCUUCCUUCAAUCGCUCUGGUUCAACAUCCUUCAAGACGCUUGAAUGGACCUUAAGUCAUCUCUCAGCAUCUAGCUUGCUUCCUCACAGCAGGCUACUUUGAUCUUCUGUAAGUAGCAGACUUUUCACUUUCCUUAAAACAGGAUCAAUUACUGUGUGCCCAACAUCCAGCUCCUCCCGAGUUAUGGUGCUUAACCAUAACCCAGAUUGGAAAAUAAUCUGGUACACGAUUUUGAUCUCGAUCUUAAUCUGCUCUAAUCUUCUUCCCAGUUUGUAUCUGUCUAUCAAAUCAAUGACAGAGAAAACAAACCUCAUGACAAGUCCUCUGCUCCUUCUGUGUGCUGAUUUCAGCAUCAAGGUCUCUAGGAUGUCUUCUAUGUCAUACAUGACAUUUCUUAAGCGCUUUCUGUCAAGCACAUUUCCUGAGAGAUCAAAAGAGUCUCGGAGCUGCUUCUCAAUCCAUUCCAGAUGAGCUUCUUGUCCCAGUAAUGGAACUGAUUCAUUCAGCAGCAAACAGGAAAGCUUUUCUCUAACAGAGGAUGCAAUUCUAACCUCCAUGUCUGCAAUUUCGUCUUGAUCUUUUAGGCAAUGGAAAGCAAAGCCAAAUUCAAACUGUGAGCAAUGGAAGAAAAAUGCUUAGAACAAAAAGGUAGUGAAACUUCUCUUUUGUACUCUUUGCAGUGCAUAAACUUUCCUUACUCUAUGCAGCAGCAAGAGAGUCUCAAGUACUUUUUUCAUGUUGUUAAGCAGUAGGAAACUGCAAUUCUCCAUUAAUCUUUCCUUGAAGCUCAGUCUUCCUUCUCCAUAAUUGCCCGGAAGCUUCAUCUUUCUCUUUUUCUUGAGAAAUUUUGAAAGAAUAUAAUUUUCCAAACUUGUGGAAAAUUGUAAACUGCUCACCAAAACUCCAAUACAAAUCAUCACAUAAUGACUUGGCAAGGGUCGUCAGAGCAGAGAAAUUAUGCCUGAUUUAUUUAAUUUUCUUGAAGAAAAUAUUGAGGACCAAAAAGGGGAAAAAAGACGAGGAAAAAAAAUAGAAAACUGUAAUUUCUCAUAUUUCUAAUUCAUAUUUCAUAACCCUAAGAAACAACCGUCGGUUAAAUUCAUCACUGAACCAUAAAGUGAACCCACCAUUAAACUACAUCAUAACACAAUGAAGCAUCUCUGUCACUUUCCCUCUUGACUUGACAGAGUCAUGAGUCGUUACUAAAACAUUGAUGUGUCUAAUGAAGAACAUUUUUAUCAAUGACCCACAAAAAGUAAAAAAAGAAAAACUUGCUACAAUUGACUAAUGAAGCUCGUGUAAGUCAAUUCAUUAGGUAAAUGGAGAAAUGGGAAUUCUUUUAGGUAGAGUAAUACAGAGAAAAGCAUAUCUUAUAGCAGCCACAAAUGGUGGAGACCACCAAAGCAUCUUCCUUGUCUUUUUUGGUUGAUUUCAUAUGUAUCUAAAAUAAAGAAGAAACUACCAAAGUAAACAAAGGUAUCAUCUUUAUUAGCCGGCUGACUUGGAUGGUUAAUAGGAAAGGGAAAUGUGAAGCAUCAAUGGCUUUUUCCUUAUAUGAACCUACGAAUAUGAACAAAAGAGAAAAAGGGAAGAAAAAGAAACUUGCUCCUAUUUCCAGAUCACUUUCUUCGAAGUUUAGCUGCUAACCCUUCUGGGUUUUUGAUGUUUUAGUUGAUUUGUUUGAUCCAGAGGAAGAAAUAUCAAAUAUCAAAGAAAUUUCAAUGGUUUUGUUCGAUAAAACAAAAAACCUCAGGUUGUGGUUAGUAGAAACUCAUACUUGUUGAGAUAUUAGUUAAUUCAAUUUUUGGAAAAAUGGAAGAAAGUGAAGAGGAAAAAUUGCAGAAAAAAAAAGGAGUUUUCUGCUGCUCGAAAAGUAUUCAAAUGACAUACACUUCCUAUUAAUUUUAUACAUAUAUAUAUACAAAAUGAAUGAAAAAAUUUACAAAUUUUAACUAAUACCAGAAGCUCCACUCUUAUUGACAGUUGUUAUCUAAAGCUGUCAAUACCGGAAGAAAAUAGUAAACAUAAAGUUUAGAGUUGGAAUGACAAAAAAUUCAACUCCUUGUUUCAUGGAAAACUCAAUCUUCAACAAUACUUUGCAGUAUUAGAUUGUAAAUUACACAAAAAUGUUCAGUUUUGUAGUUAUGAUGAUAGCCUCUUCAGUUUGCUGCUCCAAUUGAACAUAAAUUGAGCAUUUGCUUUGAUCAAUUCAUAUUAUCAUUAGAAAUUUGAUUACAUGAUCUUGAAUUUGACUGACUAUGAUUACAGCUUCCUGCUCCAUCUGAACAUAAAUUGAUUGAUUUUAAGAGAUGGUGGCAGCUCAUAAGAUGGAUGAUUCGUCGCUGCUCAAGUGUAUCAACAUAGCUUAUGAUUUCGGUAAUUUUAUCAUUAGUUUUCUGUGGUAAAUUUAGUUUGCAGAGAUGAUCAAUCCCCAGUUCAUAGUAGAUAAAAUUUUCUAGUAAAAUGCUUAGCAACUGGAACUUAUACUCCAACUCCAAAAAAGUUAAGGUUUUAACUUUCUGUCUUAUACAUGUUUUACUCUCUCCUCUUACAUAUGACAAUAGUGGCUAGCUACUAAGACCACUGCUUAAACAAAAAAUUCGUUUUUUUUUUUUACUGCUAUAGCUAAGGAGCUUCAGUUCUUUCUUAACUUUUUAUUUCAAUGGACUUUCUGAUAAUAAUUUGAAGAAAUUCAAAAAAGGAAAUAGUAGUAAAAAUGUUUUUUUUUUUACCUCAUUGGAUGUCUGCUGCUUGUAGGGAGGCAAAAAUGAAAGUAAAUAGGGUAACUAGAUCAAAGCAAAAGGUUCAAGAGCUUUUGAAAUGUUUCUCCUUCUUUGGUAAAUGUUAGGUAGCAUGUGAAAUUUAAGUGGUGGUGAGGCAGCAACUGAACUAUCUCUUGUCCCUGAGGAUUGCUGUAAGGAUCACCAGUUCUUACAAGUUGCUCUAAAUAUUUUGGAUUUCCAGGAGCACAACAGUAAUUAUAAGCUGCACAAGGAAACUUUUUUGUAUCAUUCCUGUGAAUCUUUUUGUUGUCUCUGAGUAAUAUGGUAUGGUGGACAGUUUUGCAAUUCAUUUGGGCUGCAACAAACUGGAUCAUCUUGCUAUACCUGGUUACAUCUGUGAGUACAUCUCCGUCAUCAGGAGCUCCAUUGUUCUUCCAACAGCCGCCGAUAUCUAGCCAGAACUAUAGUAGCAUAUAGGAGAAAACAAAAGUAAUUAAGAGCAUCAACAAUUAAGAAUUAUUUUCUGUGAAUAGAAAAAUAAGUACCUUGUCAUAUUAUUUCUACAUUAAAAUUAAUUCUAAUUUUGUAACACUAUCAAAAAUUUAAAAAUAGAUAACUAAAAAAAAAAUUGAGAAAACUAUUUAUAAUUUUGAGCAUUCUCCGUAUCAUAUAAUGGUAUCCUCCAGAAAAUCUGCUGGUUGCGUCAACUCUAAGAUAUAACAUCAACCAAAGGUAUUUUGCCGAAGUUCUAAGCUCAUGCUUAAACACCCAACUCCCAGUUCCAAUUUUCUUCUCUCAGAUUACUUNNNNNNNNNNNNNNNNCAUUAAAGCAUCCUCUCAUUGUACCAUCACUUAACACCUCUGUUUGCUGAUGAUUUACAAUGGGUUGAUUCAUACACCCCUUUCCGGAACAAGGAAACUCACCUGGUUUAAAUGGUCCAGUCUUUUUUUUUUCCAAUCUCUGGACACAACCCAGAUUCUGUACCAUAGUUUUCAUUUUUAAGCAUAACCAUCCAAAGUUCCAUGGUCUGGGAAAAUCUGAAACUUCACACAAAGAACUAAGGUAUAUUUUGUUCAUAGCUUAUUAGAUGUUAAAAACAAUUCGAUUGUCUCCUAAGUCCAAUUAACCUCUAAUUAUUAUAACUCUAGUUUUAGAUAAUCAGUAAUAAUUUUUAUGAUUUGUUGAUUGAUUGAAUUAAAAUAAGACACUUAACUUGGAAUAAUACACUAAAUCAUUAUGAAUUUUAAUUUUGGUACAUUACAAUGAGGAACAAAUUUUUUAGCUAGAUGAUAUAUACAAGUAGAGGUGAUUUAAUCCAUGUAGAUUAUACAAAAUCGUACUUGGAAAUUCAACAUCUGGGUCCUUCCAUCCGUACUCUCCCAAGACAUAUAGCAAGAUUUCAUCUUCUCAAUUUGACUUUUCUUUAGCCACUUAGUCUCUCUGCAAACUCUCAUGGGUCAGUCUUGAACUGUUCCCAAUAAAAUCUCCAUCCGAUCUUUCGAUUCAUAUAAAUGGGAUUCCUUAUACGCGGUACGCCUCUACAAUGGUGAAUUCUCUCUCAGCUUACAGUAACUCGAAAAAUCGCGGCGACAGAAAUUUUCGACCAGGAACUUGAGGUCAGUUUAGGAGGCGGGGAGAAAUGCAAUGAGGUUAAUUUAAUCAUAUCCCAGUAAAUUAUUAGUCUCCGAGGCAUUUCUGUUCAGUACAUUUUACCCCAUUUAAUAUUGUACUGCGAGAAAGAAGGGAACCUGAGAUGAACAUCCUUUCGGUAUUUUCCAUUAUAGUUCCUAUUUCUGUAUAUUUAUGAGUUCACUGUAACCUUUGCAGAUCUUUCAGAUGCUCCUCACAUCAGCACAGGAGGGUAAGAUUAAAAAUGGGAACAUCAACUACUUUUCCUAUUUCUGUAUAUUUAUGAGUUCACUGUAACCUUUGCAGAUCUUUCAGAUGCUCCUCACAUCAGCACAGGAGGGUAAGAUUAAAAAUGGGAACAUCAACCACUUGAUUCUUAUUCACUAAUUGCAGUGAAGAUAUGAGGAAUUCUUGUUUUUUUUUUUUUUUUUUUUGAAUGAAAGAUAUGAAGAUUAUUGCGAAGUGUAGACAAAUAGAACUUCAUAUAUUCUUUGCUGUUGGAGUGUCACUCCUAAUGGUUAUUAUAUCUGAUUUGCUUAUAGUUGAAUGUAACUUCUAUAUAUUCAUAUUUAAAAGUGGAGAAAAGUAAAUAUAUUUAACAAGUUUAAUAAGUUUAUAUAAGAUGUAAAAAAGUACAAAAACUAAUGACAACAGAAAAUUAACACAAUAUUUCUAUACUUCAUUCCAUAUCAUACCCAAGAAUCAAGACCAUGUUGUAAAGAACUCAAGAAUAUUGGUCAAAGUUACAUUUAGCCCCAUAUCUUUGUUAUCUGGGAUCUUGGACGUGAAACCAGUAAAGGAGAAAAUAAAACAUUUAGAUUGAAAGGGGAAGAAGGGUGAGAAGGUAGAUUGAGAGAAAAAUGGAAGAAGUCCACAGACUAUGCCUUGUACAAUUUUAUUAGCUUGUUCUUGGUUGAUUCCAACACAUUUCUCACUGCAACAUAAUGUCUCAGUUCUGCCAAGUUUUAUUGAUUUUCUAUGUAGACGUGGCGAAUAUGAGCAAUCUUAUACCAAUCCUGACUCAGAUGAUCUGCUAUCCUAAAAGUGAACUCGGCUGGCAUGUCUUGCAAUUUGAGUUCACGGAGAGUUUUUAUGUACUGGAGUCCAUCAGGAAGCAUCUUCAGAUUUUGACAGCAUCUUAUUUCCAAAUCUUUAAGCACAGGUAAUGCUCCUUCCUCCACAACACAUUCCUCCAGCACCUCCAGCUUCCAGAAUUUGAGCACUCGAAGCUUUNNNNNNNNNNNNNNNNNNNNNNNNNNNNNNNNNNNNNNNNNNNNNNNNNNNNNNNNNNNNNNNNNNNNNNNNN
rnacentral:lncRNA from 1 species